rnacentral:rRNA from 1 species
CAUUACCGAGUUUUCGAGCUCCGGCUCGACUCUCCCACCCUUUGUGAACGUACCUCUGUUGCUUUGGCGGCUCCGGCCGCCAAAGGACCUUCAAACUCCAGUCAGUAAACGCAGACGUCUGAUAAACAAGUUAAUAAACUAAAACUUUCAACAACGGAUCUCUUGGUUCUGGCAUCGAUGAAGAACGCAGCGAAAUGCGAUAAGUAAUGUGAAUUGCAGAAUUCAGUGAAUCAUCGAAUCUUUGAACGCACAUUGCGCCCCUUGGUAUUCCGGGGGGCAUGCCUGUUCGAGCGUCAUUACAACCCUCAAGCUCUGCUUGGAAUUGGGCACCGUCCUCACUGCGGACGCGCCUCAAAGACCUCGGCGGUGGCUGUUCAGCCCUCAAGCGUAUAGAAUACACCUCGCUUUGGAGCGGUUGGCGUCGCCCGCCGGACGAACCUUCUGAACUUUUCUCAAGGUUGACC